GGGGAGUCGGUGCUCCCCUUUUUUCUGUUAUUUCCGCAAUCUUACCUGUUCCACCGCAUGGUUAGCGCUCUUAGUCAUAAUAAGGCUGGCACGUUCUCGCGUGGGUAAAAUAUUUUGUUUUAAAUUCAACCAGUUAAUUUCUUUCCAAAGCGAAGCUGCUGUAUUAACAGCUUCUUCUUUAGAUAAUUUCGCAUAAUUGUGGAAAUAAGAGUCAGGAUCGGUAAACGCCCCUUCGCGGAAUUUCAGGAAGCGAUUGAUAUACCACGUCUGAAGAAGCUCUUC
rnacentral:rRNA from 1 species